rnacentral:rRNA from 1 species
GACGAACGCUGGCGGCGUGCUUAACACAUGCAAGUCGAACGGAAAGGCCCUGCUUUUGUGGGGUGCUCGAGUGGCGAACGGGUGGGUAACACGUGAGUAACCUGCCCUUGACUUUGGGAUAACUUCAGGAAACUGGGGCUAAUACCGGAUAGGAGCUCCUGCUGCAUGGUGGGGGUUGGAAAGUUUCGGCGGUUGGGGAUGGACUCGCCGCUUAUCAGCUUGUUGGUGGGGUAGUGGCUUACCAAGGCUUUGACGGGUAGCCGGCCUGAGAGGGUGACCGGCCACAUUGGGACUGAGAUACGGCCCAGACUCCUACGGGAGGCAGCAGUGGGGAAUAUUGCACAAUGGGCGGAAGCCUGAUGCAGCAACGCCGCGUGCGGGAUGACGGCCUUCGGGUUGUAAACCGCUUUCGCCUGUGACGAAGCGUGAGUGACGGUAAUGGGUAAAGAAGCACCGGCUAACUACGUG